UUGGCUUAGGGAUACGUUCGUUGGGUAGGGGAGCGUUCUGUAAGCCUGUGAAGGUGUGUCGUGAGGCAUGCUGGAGGUAUCAGAAGUGCGAAUGCUGACAUAAGUAACGAUAAAGCGGGUGAAAAGCCCGCUCGCCGGAAGACCAAGGGUUCCUGUCCAACGUUAAUCGGGGCAGGGUGAGUCGACCCCUAAGGCGAGGCCGAAAGGCGUAGUCGAUGGGAAACGGGUUAAUAUUCCCGUACUUGGUGUUACUGCGAAGGGGGGACGGAGAAGGCUAUGUUGGCCGGGCGACGGUUGUCCCGGUUUAAGCGUGUAGGUGUGUGUUCCAGGUAAAUCCGGUUCACUUUAACACUGAGGCGUGACGACGAGGCACUACGGUGCUGAAGCAACAAAUGCCCUGCUUCCAGGAAAAGCCUCUAAGCAUCAGGUAACACGAAAUCGUACCCCAAACCGACACAGGUGGUCAGGUAGAGAAUACCAAGGCGCUUGAGAGAACUCGGGUGAAGGAACUAGGCAAAAUGGUGCCGUAACUUCGGGAGAAGGCACGCUGACACGUAGGUGAAGUGAUUUACUCAUGGAGCUGAAGUCAGUCGAAGAUACCAGCUGGCUGCAACUGUUUAUUAAAAACACAGCACUGUGCAAACACGAAAGUGGACGUAUACGGUGUGACGCCUGCCCGGUGCCGGAAGGUUAAUUGAUGGGGUCAGCGUAAGCGAAGCUCCUGAUCGAAGCCCCGGUAAACGGCGGCCGUAACUAUAACGGUCCUAAGGUAGCGAAAUUCCUUGUCGGGUAAGUUCCGACCUGCACGAAUGGCGUAAUGAUGGCCAGGCUGUCUCCACCCGAGACUCAGUGAAAUUGAACUCGCUGUGAAGAUGCAGUGUACCCGCGGCAAGACGGAAAGACCCCGUGAACCUUUACUAUAGCUUGACACUGAACAUUGAGCCUUGAUGUGUAGGAUAGGUGGGAGGCUUUGAAGUGUGGACGCCAGUCUGCAUGGAGCCGACCUUGAAAUACCACCCUUUAAUGUUUGAUGUUCUAACGUGGACCCGUAAUCCGGGUUGCGGACAGUGUCUGGUGGGUAGUUUGACUGGGGCGGUCUCCUCCUAAAGAGUAACGGAGGAGCACGAAGGUUGGCUAAUCCUGGUCGGACAUCAGGAGGUUAGUGCAAUGGCAUAAGCCAGCUUGACUGCGAGCGUGACGGCGCGAGCAGGUGCGAAAG
rnacentral:rRNA from 1 species